AAGACCCACACCAGUCCCCAGGUCAUCCACAGAGGGUCCCCAGCUGUCACCUGUAUUGCUCCCUUCUUAUGAGGCAGAACUGCCAGAUAACUUCCACUGCGCGGCUUUAAGAGAUCUUCAGGCCAUACCUCCAAAAGAAGUGACAGGAGUAUAGACACUUUUUUUUUAAUCCUCUCUCAGCCAAAGCUGCAGGCAAGAUGACCAAGACUGUCCAGAUCUUCUUCAUUGUGGUUGAUUCUUUUGGAAGAUGUUUAAUUUGCAGAGGACUGAUUUUCAUUCAAAAAAAGGGGAAAUUUUAAAAUGGCCAAAUUGAUCAGACACAAGCAUGAGGUAGUGUGGCUGACAGCCACCCUCCCUGAGUCGUAUCGUCAGCAGCCGGGAGGUGGAUCAACCCAAACGGUCACCCUUACUUCAGAGAUGCUUGCCGAAAAAAGGAUGGUUGAAUUUAUAACUACAGCUUCUGGCUGAGGCCUCCUAGAUUUCUGCCCACUAAGU